ensembl:lncRNA
GUGAUUGAUAACAUAAAAGAGGAUGCAGAGUCAAAGCAAAAGAACUAGGAUGGAAGAAUUGUAAAAGGAAAUGAAUCACCAUAUAGGCUGUGGUUACACACAGCCUUGAAAAAAAGUCUACGUGGUUUGAUUUUGGUGAUGAAGGACUGGCUUUGUGCCUGGAAGGCCACAUUGCAGCAGCUGUUUAGUGCAGCAUUGCCCCAGAUGGAUCACUGAAAGAAAAAAAAAGGGGGGGGAGGCAGGGUCGAAAGAAGAAAAAACAUGGACACAGGAACAUAAACAAGACAAAAGUACUACAUCUAAAUGUGUUUUUUUUUAAGUAAAAAAUAAAUACUCCAAGAAUCAUGAAGGAUUUCUGCUGACGGCAGAAAAACAAUCUAAGACAGGGUGACAAGUUACAAAAGGAAACGACAGGUGCUGAAAGCCAGAAAGGGGCUGAGAAGUACAGCCAUGUGCUAGGGACCACUCAUUGAGCCGGACGCAGGGAAGAAUCGAUCCCAUUCCAGGGGCCGGGGGCUUAGCCUCACACCCUCACUCGACCGUACAAAUCAAUUUUCUUUUUGAGCUGCGGCAUGCAGGAGUCUAAAGAUCUCCGCAAGCAUUUGCUACAGGGACGGCACCACCUGAGCAACCCCUAACUUCUCCCGCGGUGACGGUGACAGCUCUGCCCACCGCCGCAGAGGAGGAGGUGACUGCACAUGCGCUGUGCGACACGGCGUACCUCCCUUCCGGCCGCCAUCUGGCUAUCUGCCGCGGCUGUACUUGGCCCCUUGUUCCUGUUUGCGGUUUUCGUGUUUUUUCCCGUUUCGGUAGCGCUGUGCUUGCCCCAGGAAGAUGAAAGAAACAAUCAUGAAUCAAGAAAAGCUUGCCAAGCUCCAGGCUCAAGUGCGCAUUGGUGGCAAGGAUUUCGCACUUGUUCAGGGGUGAAGUUCAAAACCAUCGGAGGAGACAACUGUGACAGGUACCUGCCCAUAUCCUCCCACCCACCUUGCCACCCACCACCAUGCUGCCUCGGGGUAGAAUCCUGGGUGGUAUUCUUCACUAAUUGUUCACUCCAUUCACUACUGCUCUCUGGGCCCAUCUGUCCAUACAGUUUUUAACCCAGCAAAGGGUGUACCUGUCUCUUAAUAUGCUUUAAAUUUUGGUUAGCCCUGAAGUGGUCAGGCAGUUGGACUAGAUGAUCUUUGGACGUCUCUUCCAACUGAACUAUUCUAUUCUAUUGCAUGAACCACAUAAAACAGGAUCACAUAGUACAAUCACAGAAUCACAGAAUAGCCGAGGUUGGAAGGGACCUCUAAAGAUCAUAGAAUCAUAGAAUGGCCUGAGUUGGAAAGGACCACAAAGAUCAUCUAGUUCCAACCACCCUGCCAUAGGCAGGGACACCAUCCACUAGAUCAGGUUGCUCAGGGCCUCAUCUAACCUGGUCUUGAACACCUCGAGGGAUGGGGCAUCCACAACCUCUCUGUGCAACCUGUUCCAGUGCCUCACCACCCUCUGAGCGAAGAACUUCCUCCUAGCCUCUAAUCUAAAUCUCCCCUCUUUUAGUUUAAAACCAUUCCCCCUUGUCCUGUCAUUAUCUGAUUGAACAAAGAGUCACUCUCCAUCUUUUUUAUAAGUCCCCUUGAAGUACUGAAAGGUUGCAGUGAGGUCACCCCAGAGCCUUCUCUUUUGUAGGCUGAACAGCCCCAGCUCUCUCAGCCUUUCUUUGUAGGAGAGGUGCUCCAGCCCCUUGAUCAUCUUUGUGGCCCUCCUCUGGAUCUGCUCUAACAGCUCCACAUCCUUCUUGUGCUGGGAGCUCCAGACUUGGACGCAGUACUCCAAGUGGGGCCUCACAAGGGCUGAGUAGAAGGGGACAAUCACCUCCCUCGACCUGCUGGCCACUCCUCUUUUAAUGCAGCCCAGGAUGCAGUUGGCCUUCUGGGCUGCAAGCACGCACUGCCAACUCACAUCGAGCUUUUCAUCCGUCAGAAAAAAUCACAGAAUCACAGAACGGAUGAGGUUGGAAGGGACCUCUGAAGACCAUCUAGUCCAACCCCCCUGCCGAGCAGGAUCACCUAGAGCACGUUGCACAGGAUGGCAUCCAGGUGGAUUUUGAAUAUCUCCAAAGAAGGAGACUCCACAACCUCUCUGGGCAACCUGUUCCAGUGCUCUUUCACCCUCACAGUAAAGAAGUGCCCUCUCAUAUUCAGCCAGAACUUCCUGUGAUUCAGUUUGUGCCUGUCACCUCUCGUCCUGUCGCUGGGCACAACUGAAAAGAGACUGCCUCCACCCUCUUGACACCCUCCUCUCAGAUAUUUAUACACAUUGAUGAGGUCUCCCCUCAGUCUUCUCUUUUCCAGGAUAAACAGGCCCAGCUCUCAGCCUGUCCUCGUACAACAGGUGCUCCAGUCCCCUAACCAUCUUCGUAGCCCUCUUCUGGACUCGCUUCAGUAGUUCCACGUCCCUCUUGUACUGGGGAGCCCAGAACUGGACACAAUACUCUAGGUGAGGCCUCACCAGGGCUGAGUAGAGGGACAGGAUCACCUCCCUUGACCUACUGGCAACACUCUUCCUAAUGCACCCCGGGAUACCGUUGGCCUUCUGGGCCACAAGGGCGCAUUGCUGACUCGUGGUCAGCCUGCUGUCCACCAGGACUCCCAGGCUCCUCUGCAGAGCUGCUCUCCAGCAGGUCAGCCCUCAGCCUGUACUAGUGCUUGGGGUUAUUCCUCCCUAGGUGCAGGACCCUGCACUUGCCCUUGUUGAACUUCAUGAGGUUCCUCUCGGCCCAACCCUCCAGCCUGUCAAGGUCCCUCUGAAUGGCAGCACAGCCCUCUGGAGUAUCAGCCACUCUUCCGACCUUUGUGUUGUCAGCAAACUUGCUGAGGGUGCACUCCCGUUCCAUCAUCCAUGUCGUUGUUGAAUAAGUUGAACAAGACUGGACCCAGUACUGACCCCUGGGGGACACCGCUAGCUACAGGCCUCCAACUAGACUCAGCACCACUGAGCACAACCCUCUGAGCUCUGCCAUCCAGCCAAUUAUCCAUCCACCUCACUGUCCACUCAUCCAUCCCACACUUCCUGAGCUUGUCUAUGAGGAUGUUAUGGGAGACAGUGUCAAAAGCCUUGCUGAAGUCAAGGUAGACCACAUCCACUUCUCUCCCCUCAUCUACCCAGCUAGUCAUCUCAUCAUAGAAAGCUAUCAAAUUGGUUAAGCAUGAUUUCCCCUUGGUGACUCCAUGCUGACUACUCCUGAUCACCUUAUCCUCCACAUGCUUGGAGAUGAUCUCCAGGAUGAGCAUCGCCUUUCCAGGGAUGGACGUGAGGCUGACUGGCCUGUAGUUGCCUGGGUCCUCCUUCUUGCCCUUUUUGAAGACUGGCGUGAUAUUGACUCUCUUCCAGUCCUCAGGCACCUCCCCUGUUCUCCAUGACCUUUCAAAGAUGAUGGAGAGUGGCCUAGCAAUAACAUUGGCCAGCUCCCUCAGCACCCAUGGGUGCGUUCCAUUGGGGCCUGUGGAUUUGCGGAUGUCAAGUUUGCUUAGAUGAUCCUCUUCGACCGAGGGAAAUCCUCCUUUCUCUGGACUUCCUCUCUUGUCUCCAGAGUCUGAGAUUCCUGAGGGCUUAUCUUAGCAGUAAAGACUGACGCAAAAAAGCCAUUCAGCAACUCUGCCUUCUCUAUAUCCUUUGUCACCAGGGCACCCGCCCCAUUCAGCAGCAGGCCAACAUUUUCCCCAGUCUUCCUUUUUCUACUGAUGUAUUUAAAGAAGCCCUUCUUGUUGUCCUUGACAUCCCUUGCUAGAUUUAAUUCCAAAUGGGCCUUAGCCUUCCUUGUCGCAUCUCUGCAUACGCUGACAGUGUCCCUAUAUUCCUCCCAAGUGGCCUGUCCCUUUUUCCACAUGCUGUAAACUUCCUUCUUCUGUCUGAGCUUCACCAGGAGCUCCCUGUUCAUCCAUGCAGGUCUCCUGCAGUGCAGCAAGCUGGAAUUCUCCAGCACUGUGAAGGUCAGGGCAUACGUCUUCCAAACAUUCUAUCAGUUUUUUAGGAUUCUGCACUUGUUCAGGGGUGAAGUUCAAAACCAUCGGAGGAGACAACUGUGACAGGUACCUGCCCAUAUCCUCCCACAUACCUUGCCACCCACAACCACACUGUCUUGGGGCAGAUUCCUGGGUGGUAUUCUUAANAUGGAAGAAUUGUAAAAGGAAAUGAAUCACCAUAUAGGCUGUGGUUACACACAGCCUUGAAAAAAAGUCUACGUGGUUUGAUUUUGGUGAUGAAGGACUGGCUUUGUGCCUGGAAGGCCACAUUGCAGCAGCUGUUUAGUGCAGCAUUGCCCCAGAUGGAUCACUGAAAGAAAAAAAAAAGGGGGGGAGGCAGGGUCGAAAGAAGAAAAAACAUGGAUACAGGAACAUAAACAUGACGAAAGUACUACAUCUAAAUGUGGUUUUUUUUGUUUGUUUUGUUUUUUUUUUUCUUUUCGUUUUUUUGGAAGUGAAGGGGAAGGUCUCCUGCCCCUUUGCUUGCCUUCUUGCUCAUAGGGAUGCACCAAUCUUGAGCUUGGAGGAAGGGCAACAACCAACACAACUCCAAACCUUGUGACGGACCCUGCAGCCACUCCAACCCCUGCGAUGGGCCCUGUGGCCACUCCAACCCCUGUGACAGUCCCUGCAGCAACCCCAACCCCUGCGAUGGGCCCCAUGGCUCCGCCAGAGAACCAACCUGUGCCAGUAUCAGUCGCCCCUAUAUGCAAGACAAAACAGUGCAUGUGAAAGUCAGUUCAGGAGGCCUGUGCACCUGAAAGCUGAGAUUGUCUUUGCAGGAGAGGGAAGGAACCUGAACUGAGAAGUGUUUGUUCCAUCUUUCCUUCCAUAGGAGUGCUGACAGAGUUGCUUAUAAAUAGCGGCAAUCUAGGGUCAAUCUAGAAAAAAGUUAAUUGAAAGGUAACUGAAUCAGAUUUGAAUGUGAACUCGAUUUCAGAAGUUACUUGGGAUAUGAGGUAUGAAAGUCACAUGAAAAGAGGUACCGUGGUGUUAGGGGCAGAAAGAUGCAUUUGUCUGUUUUGCUUUCACUUCCUAGGAGGAGGGAACUGCAAUAGCUUGUCUUUCCUAGCGUAUCUGCUACACUUAAAUUGGGUAAAGCCCCAGCCCAUGAGAAAAUAAAAUACAAGCUUUACCUAGUCA